rnacentral:rRNA from 1 species
CCUACGGGUGGCAGCAGUGAGGAAUAUUGGUCAAUGGGCGCGAGCCUGAACCAGCCAAGUAGCGUGAAGGAUGACUGCCCUACGGGUUGUAAACUUCUUUUAUAAAGGAAUAAAGUGAGGCACGUGUGCCUUGUUGAAUGUACUUGAUGAAUAAGGAUCGGCUAACUCCGUGCCAGCAGCCGCGGUAAUACGGAGGAUCCGAGCGAUAUCCGGAUUGAUUGGGGUGAAAGGGUGGGUAGCUGGGCUGGUAAGCCCGUGUGUACACGUUGCGGCUCAACCGUAAAAUUGCAAUUGAUACUGGCAGUCUGUGUUACCGUUGUGGUAGGCGGACUGCGUGGUGUAGCGGUGAAAUGCUUAGAUAUCACGAAGAACUCCGAUUGCGAUGGCAGCUUACUAAACUGCCACUGACAUUGCUGCUCGCAUGUGUGGGUAUCAAACAGGAUUAGAUACCCCAGUAGUC